rnacentral:lncRNA from 1 species
UAGGUUUAAGAACACCUAUGAUAUACACCAGGGGUGACCAACUUUUUCUGUGAAGGGCCAGAUAGAGUUGAUCCUUAUUGAUGGAUUAUGCUCUCCUAAGCAAAGGCCGAGGAUCCAGACCCUUUCUGGAGAUGAUGCCCAGGUCAAUGUAGUUUGAAAAGCUCUACAGAUGAAUCUGAUGUUCAGCUCCAGUUGGCUAACAAAAAGGCCAACGUAUCCAGGAAACAGCAUUUUAUGUAAGAGAUUUUGAAACAUUUUUCUUACCAUGAGUUCAAAUUCUUUCAAUAUCAGUUAUUCUAUUACAAUUUAUGUCUUCAGUAUAGACUCUACAAACAGAACACAAAGAAUGGUCUUUCUUGUCUUAAAACAUGCUAAUCACCCACCUCCAACAUUAAAUGUACAUGAGGAUUCUGAACAGCUUCUCAGCUUCUCAGAUGUUCACAACAACUUUUUCUGAGGAUGUUGUUGAUUUUUAUAAUUUGUCUUCUUGCCAGAGCAACAGGGAUGAUUUAGUUUUAACAACAGUUCCAUAACUCAUCAUAGUUUUAGUGUUCUGCUUCACCUCAAUAAGAAUAAAUAUAC